CGUGUAACUACCAGGAUGACAUGUCUCGAAUUUCGGGACCAGAUCAUGUGGUAGGGACUGAAGAGCUUUCGGGGAUACUUUACUGAUCAAUACAAUAGUACCACGGAGAGCAAGGUUCUAAUCUCUUUCGUGAUUUAAUGUAGAAUGAUCGUAAACUGCAAAUACAAUACGAGAGCGAAACUUACUAAAUAUUUGAAUACAUUUCAUGAAGCACUUAAAAUCACUAUAUAAUCUUGAAUCAAAUUAAAGCUACCACUGUGAAGGGCUAAAAGAUCGGAUACCUGGAAGUAUGAAGGAAGUAGAAGUAGAAGUCUGAAAGUUAAUCUGUGAUGAGAGGAGAGCUAGAAAAGCAUGUUUGGAGAUGCAGAAGACAGUGCUUUUCAAGAACAAGACAAUGUUAAGGAAAGUUAUCUCAGGGAUUGUCCAGGGAUAAUAAUAAUAUUUAGCAAACAAGCUGACAAAUGUUUGGUUCUUUGCCCCAUGUCCAAACACGGGAAAUGGCCUACAUGCUAAAAGUUUACUAAAUUUACUUUGUAAUAGCAUUAUUACCAUACUGAGACUCCAACCAUGAACACUUUAAACAUA